rnacentral:rRNA from 1 species
AUUGAACGCUGGCGGCAGGCCUAACACAUGCAAGUCGAACGGUAACAGGAAGCAGCUUGCUGCUUCGCUGACGAGUGGCGGACGGGUGAGUAAUGUCUGGGAAACUGCCUGAUGGAGGGGGAUAACUACUGGAAACGGUAGCUAAUACCGCAUAACGUCGCAAGACCAAAGAGGGGGACCUUAGGGCCUCUUGCCAUCGGAUGUGCCCAGAUGGGAUUAGCUAGUAGGUGGGGUAACGGCUCACCUAGGCGACGAUCCCUAGCUGGUCUGAGAGGAUGACCAGCCACACUGGAACUGAGACACGGUCCAGACUCCUACGGGAGGCAGCAGUGGGGAAUAUUGCACAAUGGGCGAAAGCCUGAUGCAGCCAUGCCGAGUGUAUGAAGAAGGCCUUCGGGUUGUAAAGUACUUUCAGCGGGGAGGAAGGGAGUAAAGUUAAUACCUUUGCUCAUUGACGUUACCCGCAGAAGAAGCACCGGCUAACUCCGUG